rnacentral:rRNA from 1 species
UCAGGAUGAACGCUGGCGGCGUGCAUAACACAUCAAGUCGAACGGGACAUUCCGAGUAGCAAUAUGAGGGGUGUUAGUGGCGGACGGGUGAGUAACGCGUGAGUAACCUGCCUGUGUGAGGGGGACAACAGAUCGAAAGGCCUGCUAAUACCGCAUGACGUAUGGAGAUCGCAUGGUUUUCAUACCAAAGAUUUAUCGCACACAGAUGGACUCGCGUUGGAUUAGAUAGUUGGCGGGGCAACGGCCCACCAAGUCUGCGAUCCAUAGCCGGACUGAGAGGUUGAACGGCCACAUUGGAACUGAGAAACGGUCCAGACUCCUACGGGAGGCAGCAGUGGGGAAUAUUGGGCAAUGGGCGCAAGCCUGACCCAAGCGACGCCGCGUGAGGGAAGAAGGUCUUCGGAUUGUAAACCUCUUUCAGCAGGGAAGAAGCAAGUGACGGUACCUGCAGAAGAAGCCACGGCUAACUACGUGCCAGCCGCCGC